rnacentral:rRNA from 1 species
AGAGUUUGAUCAUGGCUCAGGACGAACGCUGGCGGCGCGCCUAACACACGCAAGUCGAACGAGCGAGAGAGAGCUUGCUUUCUCGAACGAGUGGCGAACGGGUGAGUAACGCGUGAGGAACCUGCCUCAAAGAGGGGGACAACAGUUGGAAACGACUGCUAAUACCGCAUAAGCCCACGGGUCGGCAUCGACCAGAGGGAAAAGGAGAAAUCCGCUUUGAGAUGGCCUCGCGUCCGAUUAGCUAGUUGGUGAGGUAACGGCCACCAAGGCAACGAUCGGUAGCCGGACUGAGAGGUUGAACGGCCACAUUGGGACUGAGACACGGCCCAGACUCCUACGGGAGCA